GUGGGGAAUCUUGCGCAAUGGGCGAAAGCCUGACGCAGCAACGCCGCGUGGGGGAUGACGGCCUUCGGGUUGUAAACCUCUUUCGACCGGGACGAAGGAUUCGUUUGACGGUACCGGUAGAAGAAGCACCGGCUAACUACGUGCCAGCAGCCGCGGUAAUACGUAGGGUGCGAGCGUUGUCCGGAAUUAUUGGGCGUAAAGAGCUCGUAGGCGGUUUGUCGCGUCGGCCGUGAAAUCCUGCCGCUUAACGGUGGGCGUGCGGUCGAUACGGGCAGACUUGAGUUCGGUAGGGGAGACUGGAAUUCCUGGUGUAGCGGUGAAAUGCGCAGAUAUCAGGAGGAACACCGGUGGCGAAGGCGGGUCUCUGGGCCGAUACUGACGCUGAGGAGCGAAAGCGUGGGGAGCGAACAGGAUUAGAAACCCUAGUAGUCC
rnacentral:rRNA from 1 species